AAGUCGAGCGAUUCUCUUCGGAGAAGAGCGGCGGACGGGUGAGUAACGCGUGGGUAACCUGCCUUGUACACACGGAUAACAUACCGAAAGGUAUGCUAAUACGAGAUAAUAUGCUUUUAUCGCAUGGUAGAAGUAUCAAAGCUUUUGCGGUACAGGAUGGACCCGCGUCUGAUUAGCUAGUUGGUAAGGUAACGGCUUACCAAGGCGACGAUCAGUAGCCGACCUGAGAGGGUGAUCGGCCACAUUGGAACUGAGACACGGUCCAAACUCCUACGGGAGGCAGCAGUGGGGAAUAUUGCACAAUGGGCGAAAGCCUGAUGCAGCAACGCCGCGUGAGCGAUGAAGGCCUUCGGGUCGUAAAGCUCUGUCCUCAAGGAAGAUAAUGACGGUACUUGAGGAGGAAGCCCCGGCUAACUACGUGCCAGCAGCCGCGGUAAUACGUAGGGGGCUAGCGUUAUCCGGAAUUACUGGGCGUAAAGGGUGCGUANGUGGUUUCUUAAGUCAGAGGUGAAAGGCUACGGCUCAACCGUAGUAAGCCUUUGAAACUGGGAAACUUGAGUGCAGGAGAGGAGAGUGGAAUUCCUAGUGUAGCGGUGAAAUGCGUAGAUAUUAGGAGGAACACCAGUUGCGAAGGCGGCUCUCUGGACUGUAACUGACACUGAGGCACGAAAGCGUGGGGAGCAAACAGG
rnacentral:rRNA from 1 species